GGUCAGCGGUCGGCCAAAGGAGACGUGGCGGCUGCCUCAAAAUCGAUCAACGAUCUGACGCGGUCGGAGAGUCGUGCGGCAGUGCAGAAAACAGAGGAGAACGGAAUGGGCGGCGGCUCGAAACAGAGGUUGUGCGGCAGGGCUUCACGAACACAGAACCGGCGGAGACGGUUGCAGAACCGUGGCUUCGACGGAGACAGAACCGGCUGAGACGGCUGGGCAGCGGCGGAAGAGCAACGGCGCCGCAGAUCUGGACCGGACAGUUACGCGGCGGCUGCUGCAAGGCUGCUUCGCGAACGGAGAUGAAGAACGGUUACGUGGCGGCUGCUGCAAGACUGCUUCGCGAACGGAGAUGAAGAACGGAAUGGAGGUCGCGGCGCUCAGCUUCAGUAGGGGAGACGCGGCGGCCAACGGCUGCUGCGAACGGAAGAAGAAGAGGAAUGGAUGGCGGUUGCUGCGCUGCGAACGGGGAGAAGGGGAAGGGCGCACGGGAGGAGAAGAGAAGAGAAAAGAAAAAAGAAAAAGAAAAAGAAAAAAGAAAAAAAAAUAAUAUAUAUACCUUUCCUUCUUUUUCUUUUUUCUUUCUUUUCUUCCUCUCUUCUUGGGGCAUUACAUUCUUCCCUCGUUAAGAAACUUUCGUCCUCGAAAUUUUUAAUCCUGAAAUAACUCUGGAUAACGAGUCCUCAUCUCUUCCUCUCGUUCUCAUGUCGCCUCUUCAAUUCGAUGAUUCCGCCACAAAACCUUUACUAAUGGAAUGCUUCUAUUACGAAGCAUCUUCACCUCUCUAGCCAGAAUCUCCACAGGUUGUUCUACAUAGCUCAAAUGCUCAUCAAUCUCCAAGGGUUCAUAGUCCACUACAUGAGAUGUAUCGGCCACAUACUUCCUCAACACCGAAACAUGGAAAACAUUAUGAACUGCAGAGAGUGAUGGUGGUAAUGCCAAGCGAUACGCCACAACACCAACCCUCUCUAAGAUCUCAAAUGGUCCAACAAAACGAGGACUUAACUUCCCUUUCUUCUCAAAACGCAUAACACCCUUCAUAGGUGCUACCUUCAAGAAUACCUUUUCUCCCACAUCGAACUUAAGGUCUUUUCGCCGUACAUCUGCAUAACUCUUCUGUCUACUCUGCGCUGUUUGCAUACGUGCUCUAAUCUUUUGAAUAGCCUCAUUAGUAGACCGAACUAAUUCAGGUCCCAUCAACCUAUGUUCACCAACCUCACCCCAACAAACAGGGGUUCUACAACAUUUGCCAUACAAAGCCUCAAAUGGUGCCAUACUGAUGGUAGCCUGGAAACUGUUGUUAUAAGCAAACUCCAUCAAAUGUAGAUGAGAGUCCCAACUACCUGGAAACUCUAACACAAGCUCGUAGCAUAUCCUCUAAAACUUGGUUCAAACGUUCAGUUUGACCAUCAGUCUGUGGAUGAAAGGCUGUACUGAAAUCCAAUCUCGUACCCAUAGCAGUCUGAAGUCCCUUCCAAAACUUGGAAGUAAACCGUGCAUCCCUAUCAGAAACAAUCGAUACAGGCACUCCAUGCAGUCUCACAAUCUCAGUUAAAUACAACUCUGCCCACUUACUAGCAGUAUAAGUGGAUUUCCCUGGUACAAAAUGUGCCGAUUUCGUAAGCCUAUCGACAAACCAAAUCACUGUGUAACCCUUCAGGGUUUUAGGCAAUUAUAUAAUAAAAUCCAUAGAUACAUUCUCCCACUUCCACUCUAAUAUACUCAAAGGUUGCAACAAACCUGUUGUUUUCUAUCUGGUGCUUUAACCUACUAGCACACCAAGCACUUACUAACAAGAUUUUCCAUUUCUCUCUUCAUAUUACGCUAGUAACAAACUCUUUUCAAUCCGGAUACAUUUUUGUGCUACUUGGAUGCAUGAGAAAUGGGAAACUAUGAGUCUCAACCAAUAACCUUGUCUUAAUUGCAUUUUCUGUUGGCACACAAUUCUCUCUCAAACAUAAGUUCAUCAUCAAAGGAUAUGGAAAACUCCUUAACUUGCCCUACUUCUACUAGGUGAUGCUUCUCAAUCAAAUAAGGAUCAAUGAAUUGAACCACAAGAAUUCUUUGUCUCAAGAUCGGAUGUACUGACAACUGAGCUAACUGUGAGGUGACUUCCCCCACUGAAACUACAAUCUCAGCUCUCUCGUGGUUUUUGUCUAAUGAAACCUGUCUGGUAAUAAGUGCUGUCAAAAUGUGAUACUUUUCUACGAAGAGCACCAACUUCCACAUUCGCCUUACCUAGAUGGUACAAAAUCUCACAAUCAUAGUCAUUUACUAACUGAAACCAUCUUUGCUAUCUCAUACUCAACUUCUUUUGAGUGAAGAAGUAUUUUAUACUCUUUUGGUUAGAAAAUAUCUAUAUCUUUUCAUCAUACAUAUAGUGCCUUCAAAUCAUUAAUGUAAAAACCACAACUGUCAAUUCCAUAUCAUAAGUUGGACAAUUUUCCUCACGAGGAGUACAAGCAACUACUUUAACUUGUUGAAUAAGAAUACCUUUUAAACUUUCCUAAAAGCAUCACUAUAAAUUACGGAACAUUCUGAACCAUCAUGUACGGUAAGCACGGGAGUUGUACAAGCUUCUGCUUAAGAUCCUGAACACUAUCCUCAUAGGCUUUGUCCCAAACAAACGGAGUCCCUUUUCUUAGUUAACUGAGUCAAAGGAGUAGCUAUACGAGAAAAUUCUUAUACAAACCGUUAGUAAUAACCUGCUGAACCCAAAAAGACUACGAACCUCACUGACUAUGAAAGUGAGGCCAACUAGUAACGACUUCAAUCUUUUGUGAGAUCCACAUAAAUGUCAUCUCUAGAUACCACAUGGCUUGGAAAGAUACUUGGCCUCAUCCAAAACUCACAUUUUGAAAACUUUGCAUACAAUUUGUUGACUCGAAGAGCCUCUAAAACCAUGUUAAAUGCUCCUCAUGCGCUGUCUCUAUUUUGGAAUAAAUUAAGAUAUCGUCAAUAAAUACAAUCAUGAAAGUGUCUAAGAGAUCGUUAAACACUUUGUUCAUCAAGUCGUAAACAUUGUUUGAGCAUUUGCCACUCAAAAGACAUCAUAAUGAACUCAUGAUGUCCAUAUCUCGAACGAAAAUCUGCCUUAGGAAUGUCACUGUUCUCUAAUCCUCAACAAGUCAUAACCUGAAUGUAAUUCAAUCUUAAAGAACACGGACUUAUUGCAGUUGAUCAAACAAAUCCUCAUUCAUUGGUAAAAGAUAUUUAUUCUUAACCGACACCUUAUUCAACUUUCUACAAUCAAAACAUAAGUGCAUCGACCCAUCUUUCUUCUUAAUAAACAAAAAUUGGUGCACCCCAAGAUAACAUACUUCGUCGAAUGUAGUCCUUGUCAAACAUUUCUUUCAAUUGCACCUUCAAAUCUUUCAACUCUGUUGGGGCCAUUUUGUAUGAAGCUUUAGAUAUAGGAACGAGUCUAACUCUAUCUCAAUAGCAAGACCAAUUUCUGUUUAGCGCGGUAAUCUUAGAAACUCUUCUAGAAAAAUAUCAUAAUACUUUUUCACCACUGAUUCAAAUAACAAAGAAACAUCGACUUCUCUGGUGUCUACCACACUAGUCAAAUACAACAGGUACCCUGGUCAAGCAACUUACUAACCUUCAUAGCUGGGAUAACUUUUAGCGAAACGAUAGUUCCAACCUCUUUGUACUUGAAACUAGCCUCUGGAGAAGGAUUAGAAACUACAUUUUCGCUGAACAUUUUAUGUUUACAUGGUUAAACUACAUUCCAAUUUUCAAACUCCAAACUAGUAACUUUUCAUUCACGAGAAACUCAAAAUUGUUUCUUAAAGUCACAUCAAGACAACCAUGCUCAUCUUCCUUGUUUCUUUUCCAAUACCUCCAUUCUAAAACCAUUUAAUGUGUUUCGUAUAAACUUGACCGUGUAUUUAGUCCUCGUUAAAACCACCUACAUAACUUAUUUUUCUUAGAUUUCCAAUCACAAAACAGACAAUUUCGCUAACAACGUCUUAACUUUUCUACUACUCGACCACUCCUUUGAACACCUCUACAUGGCAACAUUUUUCCUAAAUUUCACCAUUAAAUCAUAACAUCAUUCAGUAAUUCUAGUUUAACUUAGGCAAGGUCAUAUACAUAAACCAUACAUAUAAGCAUAAAGCAUACCUGACGAGAGACGAAGGGUCGCGUUAGCCAUAGGAACACAAAAACAUAGACUUACAUCGUAAGUCAGUCUACAGAACCUAAAACUUAGGCUCUGAUACCAACUGUAACGACCAACUUUUCUGGGUAAGUCGAGGUCGUUAAUUUUUGACAAAAGACUUUGGUUAUACAAAUUGAAACAUAAGUCAAUUUAAAAACAAAACUAUGUCAGGCCUGAUUUUUCAAAUAUUCAAGAAAACUUAACAAUAACACUAUUUACAAAUAAAAGUUUGUAAACUAAGUUUUAGUACAUCUUAAACCUUAAAAAAAUCAUAAGCGGAAGCAAAAUAACACAUUCCCUAUGACAAUCACGCUUCCUUCCUGCCCCUCGCCGGUUUGCCACCUUUAUUACUUUGCCUGAAAAUUAAACAUAAGAAGUGGUGAGUAUUUUAAAUACUCAGUAAGAGACCCUCUACUGGUCUCGUCAGGGGAAAAUAAAUUGUUAAAGUUUUAUUGGGACACCCUGUACAGUCGCAGUCUUGUGAUCCCGUAGGAUACACAUUUCAGUCUAACGCCCCGAGGGACGUACAUAUCAGUCUGACGCCCCGAGGGACGUACAUAUCAGUCUGACGCCCGAGGGUACAUAUCAGUCAAGUGUUUGCAUAAACACAUAUCAGUCAAAUGCUCCGAAGGUGCAAAAUAAAUUGGUGAUCCCGUGGGACACCUACAAGGUAAACAUCCCAAUACAACCUAACAAUUUAUCCCCUCAUUCCAUUCAACCAUCUUUCAGUUACUUCAAAUCACAAAGUCCUUUCUUUCAACAUCCUAACAGUCAACUUAUUUUACUACAAUCAUAUGUCUGUCAAUAAAAUGCUAAUACAUCAGUCAAUCCACUAUACAGUCAAGUCAAUACACCCCUCAGUUUACCAGCACAAACCACAGUUCAGUAUAAUCCACAUCCAACCGAAACAAAUUCACUAGUUCACAUCCAAUCUUUAUACAACACAAUCUAAUAAUAUCAUCAUGUACACAUAGGCAUAGUUUCAGUCAUUCAAUGUAUACUUUCGGCAAUCCACAUCAAUUCACACAUCAAUUUAUAUAUAUAUGUUUCCAGUCAAAUACAACAUACACUAAACAUUUAGUCUGCAAUCAAACAUGUACAUCUUAAUCAUCAUCCAUACAGUCCAACACAACUCAAAAACUUUAGGUGAGUCCAGUAGAAAAUCCUUACCUCAAAGUUGGGGAAGCUCCUUAAUCAACUAACGUCCUCGAAACAAUCCUAAGCAUAACAACACAAAAUUCAAUUACUUCCACGAUACAUACCUCACUUACUUUCCUCAACGUAAGUUCCAACUCACCGAUAUAUUGGCGAACUGAACCCUCAACAAUUCACAAAUUGGUUGUGAACUUAAGGGAGCCCAACGUUACUCCCAACACCUUCAAGAACCAAUUAACAAAUUAUAAACAUUCCAACCAUAACACUUGAACCACUUUGAAACCAAUUACCAUUCAUACUUAAGUUGUUACCAACAAAGCAACCUCGAUAAAAUUGUAAAACAGAGACAGCAGCACACCUCAACGCACGACUGUCGAACUCGCAGCAAAAAUCCUAAGUGUGGGUCGGUCAGCGGUCGGCCAAAGGAGACGUGGCGGCCCUCAAAAUCGAUCAACGAUCUGACACGGUCGGAGAGUCGCGCGGCAGUGCAGAAAACAGAGGAGAACGGAAUAGGCGGCGGCUCGAAACAGAGGUUGCGCGGCAGGGCUUCACGAAGACAGAACCGGCGGAGACGGUUGCAUAACCGUGGCUUCGACGGAGACAGAACCGGCUGAGACGGCUGGGCAGCGGCGGAAGAGCAACGGCGCCGCAGAUCUGGACCGGACAGUUACGCGGCGGCUGCCAAGGCUGCUUCGCGAACGGAGAUGAAGAACGGUUACGCGGCGGCUGCUGCAAGACUGCUUCGCGAACAGAGAUGAAGAACAGAAUGGAGGUCGCGGCGCUCAGCUUCAGUAGGGGAGACGAGGCGGCCGACGGCUGCUGCGAACGGAAGAAGAAGAGGAAUGGAUGGCGGUUGCUGCGCUGCGAACGGGGAGAAG
rnacentral:lncRNA from 1 species